UGCCCAAGAGAUCGGGAUAACACCUGGAAACAGAUGCUAAUACCGGAUAANAACAGAUGAUGCCUAUCAACUGUUUAAAAGAUGGUUCUGCUAUCACUCUUGGAUGGACCUGCGGUGCAUUAGCUAGUUGGUAGGGUAACGGCCUACCAAGGCGAUGAUGCAUAGCCGAGUUGAGAGACUGAUCGGCCACAUUGGGACUGAGGCACGGCCCAAACUCCUACGGGAGGCAGCAGUG
rnacentral:rRNA from 1 species